AAUGGGUCAGCGACUUAUAUUCUGUAGCAAGGUUAACCGUAUAGGGGAGCCGGAGGGAAACCGAGUCUUAAUUGGGCGUUAAGUUGCAGGGUAUAGACCCGAAACCCGGUGAUCUAGCCAUGGGCAGGUUGAAGGUUGGGUAACACUAACUGGAGGACCGAACCGACUAAUGUUGAAAAAUUAGCGGAUGACCUGUGGCUGGGGGUGAAAGGCCAAUCAAACCGGGAGAUAGCUGGUUCUCCCCGAAAGCUAUUUAGGUAGCGCCUCGUGAAUUCAUCUCCGGGGGUAGAGCACUGUUUCGGCUAGGGGGCCAUCCCGGCUUACCAACCCGAUGCAAACUGCGAAUACCGGAGAAUGUUAUCACGGGAGACACACGGCGGGUGCUAACGUCCGUCGUGAAGAGGGAAACAACCCAGACCGCCAGCUAAGGUCCCAAAGUCAUGGUUAAGUGGGAAACGAUGUGGGAAGGCCCAGACAGCCAGGAUGUUGGCUUAGAAGCAGCCAUCAUUUAAAGAAAGCGUAAUAGCUCACUGGUCGAGUCGGCCUGCGCGGAAGAUGUAACGGGGCUAAACCAUGCACCGAAGCUGCGGCAGCGAACGUAUCACCCAAGACAACUUUACGGAGUUGACGAUUGACGGAGCGAAGCGACGUCAAAGCGUUCAUUAAAGUCGAGUUGGCUUAGGGAUACGUUCGUUGGGUAGGGGAGCGUUCUGUAAGCCUGUGAAGGUGUGUCGUGAGGCAUGCUGGAGGUAUCAGAAGUGCGAAUGCUGACAUAAGUAACGAUAAAGCGGGUGAAAAGCCCGCUCGCCGGAAGACCAAGGGUUCCUGUCCAACGUUAAUCGGGGCAGGGUGAGUCGACCCCUAAGGCGAGGCCGAAAGGCGUAGUCGAUGGGAAACGGGUUAAUAUUCCCGUACUUGGUGUUACUGCGAAGGGGGGACGGAGAAGGCUAUGUUGGCCGGGCGACGGUUGUCCCGGUUUAAGCGUGUAGGUGUGUGUUCCAGGUAAAUCCGGUUCACUUUAACACUGAGGCGUGACGACGAGGCACUACGGUGCUGAAGCAACAAAUGCCCUGCUUCCAGGAAAAGCCUCUAAGCAUCAGGUAACAUCAAAUCGUACCCCAAACCGACACAGGUGGUCAGGUAGAGAAUACCAAGGCGCUUGAGAGAACUCGGGUGAAGGAACUAGGCAAAAUGGUGCCGUAACUUCGGGAGAAGGCACGCUGACACGUAGGUGAAGUGAUUUACUCAUGGAGCUGAAGUCAGUCGAAGAUACCAGCUGGCUGCAACUGUUUAUUAAAAACACAGCACUGUGCAAACACGAAAGUGGACGUAUACGGUGUGACGCCUGCCCGGUGCCGGAAGGUUAAUUGAUGGGGUCAGCGCAAGCGAAGCUCCUGAUCGAAGCCCCGGUAAACGGCGGCCGUAACUAUAACGGUCCUAAGGUAGCGAAAUUCCUUGUCGGGUAAGUUCCGACCUGCACGAAUGGCGUAAUGAUGGCCAGGCUGUCUCCACCCGAGACUCAGUGAAAUUGAACUCGCUGUGAAGAUGCAGUGUACCCGCGGCAAGACGGAAAGACCCCGUGAACCUUUACUAUAGCUUGACACUGAACAUUGAGCCUUGAUGUGUAGGAUAGGUGGGAGGCUUUGAAGUGUGGACGCCAGUCUGCAUGGAGCCGACCUUGAAAUACCACCCUUUAAUGUUU
rnacentral:rRNA from 1 species